GUCAGUCGUUGGGUGCGGGGCGUGAGCGACCCCUGCGUAUCGUCAUCAUUUUGGGAUGUGGUGACGUAUAAACGAGCCCUUUAGAGUUAGUGGUUGCACUGUGUUUAAUUCUUAAAACUUAAGUUGUCGUAAACAGCGUUGAGGUUGAUUAUUUCAGUUUAAGAAAGUUUAAUGUAUUGUAAAUAAAAAUAAAUACAACAAUUUCGGAAGCAACGACGAGAGGCAGAGUAGUCGCUACUCCCAAAUUUUUGUCACCAUCCGUUUUUAAUCCGUGCGGUGAAAAUCCGAUUCAGUACAUGCGGAUUUACGAAAAGACAGCAGUUGUAAAUGGGUGGAGUAACACCCACAAAAUCGCUUAUUUUGACUGCUUUAUGGAAGGAGCUGCAGCAGUCUGGGUGGCUGAUUAUACAAGCAGAGAUGAAAAUCGCAACAAAAAGUGGUUAGAUUUGAAAUAAGAUUUUCUUAGGGAAUUCGGAGGUGAAAAGAAUUAGGAAAUUUCAAAACGGAAAUAGAUGCCAUUGUGGUCGAAAAAUUGCCUAAGCCGGUUAUUUUGGGGACGAAAUUUUUACAUAAAUUUAGAGCUUGUGUAAAUUUUGACGACGGCAGUAUUAAAUUGCGAAACGGUUUUGAUAAAGUAACUUUACAUUUCGACACAAAAGAACACGAAUUCAGCAAAUCUUUUGUUGCUAAGCAGGUUAAAGGUAUGAAGCAUAGCGUCUCAAAAAUGACCCGAACUACAGUCAACGCGAAUAUUACUCUAUUUGCUGAUGAUGCUAAACGUAACACCAUAACAAACCAUGACCUACGAUAUGGCUUUGACCUAGUGAAGAGAAAUGGGAGACAAUUUUGCAAAAAAGGAAAUUUCUAUACAAAGAAAUAUGAAACCAGAAGAAAUAUAGGUUUUUCUAAAACAAUCAGUCAAUUGCGAGAAUUAUCUGGGUUGAGAAACAAACCAAAAUCCCUUUUGAAAGAAACAAAAAAAUUUUCUAAAGUGCAGUUGGAUGAAAAAAUGUUGACUACAUUUGAAAGCGACAGGUUUAAUCAGAAGAAGAUAGACGACUGUAGAAAAAGAUACGCAAGCUAUAGGUUUAGAAAUGGUGGAAAGAAAUUUAUUUUCUCAAAAAAAAAUAGACGUGAUGAAAUGCAGUGGAGGAAUCCGAAUUGUAUUCAUAGCUUUAUCGGAACGAAACCAUUUCAUUUAGAAUCGGGUUUAGAUUACAAAAGAAGAAAAGAAACAGAUAAAUCUGUAAAAAGAGAAGAAAAUUGGAGCACUGGGGACUGUCACUUUUAGCUGGUAUGGAACAAUGAAACUUUAGGUGCGACCAAUCCAGGAAUAGAAGUCUUUUAUGGGAUUUUAUUAAGGUUUUUAGGAAUGCGACGUCGAAAACACAUUUUUUCUUUUAAAAACGAUAAGUGCACAAGGGAAAAAGUAAAAAAAAUAAAGGUAAAAAUGUGAGCUCACAAAGUAACGGCCAUAUCAUAAUUAAUUACAAUAUUUUUUUAACUUAAGUUGUAAAUUUGUACGUCCAAACCAUUUAUUGGGGUGUUUUGUUUAACAGUGGUUAGCCAGAAAAAUCGCUGCUAGGCAAAAUGUCUUAAUAAACAAAUCAGAUGAGUUUAAAAUCGGAACCAAAAAAAAAUUCAUGCCAGUCUGUUUAGUCCUAGGAGUUCUGGAAAUGUAGAGUUAAUACUUAAUAAUUUGUUAUUUUAUUGGAUGCUUAGAUAUAAAAAAAAUAAAUUGAUGUUUCUUGUUUUUUUGUCGGUGUUUUUGCGCUCCAACACCCAAGAGAAGACACGAAGAGAGGAUAAAUCCCGGAACUUGUGAGGGAUCAAGUGUGGACUGACCAGGGAUGGCUGAAAGGGAAGCGAGACUGUCGCAGCAGGUUUACAGUAAAACAUAACCCCUUGACGACACCGUUCAAAUUCUGGCUGUGAAACACCAACUUGCCAGAAGGCAUCAGCUGUACACCCAAGAGAAAGAAAAAGAAGAAGAUGAAGAAAUGUCCUUACAGUCUUAAAAGUAUCGACAUUCCCUGGGACAUUGUCGACAAUUAGUUACUAUCUACAAUUGAAGAGGAUACAUAGCCAAAGCUCCUGAUAGAAAGUCGAUAUUACGUCAAAAAAAAGCAAAAUCGGGCCGUUAGGAUACAGUGUUCUACGACGGUGGGUCAGAAAAAUAGAAGAGUUUUUUUUACGCCGAUCUUGAAGCUUUUCUCUGGUCCAUGUAACGGAAGAACUGAAGAAUGGCAGUUAUGUGGGAUGUUGGAAAAUUUUUAGGUUGUGAUUGUUAGGGUAGAUAUAGGAACAAUUGUCGGGGCGACAAUUUCGAAGGGCCGGGCACAUGUCACGCAGGAGUAUUUUGUAAUGCAAUUAUUGGAACUUACAAGUUAGCUGUUUAGAGGUUCGGCAAUUGGAUUUAAAUUACGACACACUCAAAACGAGGACAAAAUUGCGAUUAUUAUUAUUCCCGUAAUCGGGACAGUCAGUCGUUGGGUGCGGGGCGUGAGCGACAUCUGCGUAACGUCAUCUUUUUGAGAUGUGGUGACGUAUGAACGAGCCCUUUAGAGUUAGUGGUUGCACUGUGUUUAAUUCUUAAAACGACGAGAGUCUACCAUCUGUCACACCAGAAGAGUAGCAGAAAUGUGGCCGAGAUUGUGAAGAGCUAAUUUAAAAAAAAAAUUCGAAUCAAAUUUUUUUGGAUGAUGUAGGGUAAUUAAUUAGUUAUUAAUCUUGAUCAAGGCAGUGAUGAGAGUGAAGAAGAAGAAUAGAAUAGUGUUUCUGAUGACGAUUAACUAAGUACCUAUUUAUAUUUUUUUAAUAAAUAAAUGUUU